rnacentral:rRNA from 1 species
UACGUAGGGGGCAAGCGUUGUCCGGAAUUAUUGGGCGUAAAGAGCGUGUAGGCGGUCCGGUAAGUCAGCUGUGAAAGUCAAGGGCUCAACCCUUGAAUGCCGGUUGAUACUGUCGGGCUAGAGUCCGGAAGAGGCGAGUGGAAUUCCCGGUGUAGCGGUGAAAUGCGCAGAUAUCGGGAGGAACACCAAUGGCGAAGGCGACUCGCUGGACCGGUCCUGACGCUCAGGCGCGAAAGCGUGGGGAGCGAUCCGG